AUGAAAAUUAUUUUAAACCUAUUACAGUACUAUAUAGCCAAUUGUGUUAAUUGGGUACCUAAGCUAACUUUACCAGACCACCUGACCUGCCUCUUGAGAAAUCUGUAUGCAGGUCAGGAAGCAACAGUUAGAACUGGACAUGGAACAACAGUCUGGCUCCAAAUAGGAAAAGGAGUACGUCAAGGCUGUAUAUUGUCACCCUGCUUAUUUAACUUCUAUGCAGAGUACAUCAUGAGAAAAGCUAGACUGGAAGAAACACAAGCUGGAAUCAAGAUUGCCGGAAGAAAUAUCAAUAACCUCAGAUAUGCAGAUGACACCACCCUUAUGGCAGAAAGUGAAGAGGAGCUAAAAAGCCUCUUGAUGAAAGUGAAAGAGGAGAGUGAGAAAGUUGGCUUAAAGCUUAACAUUCAGAAAAUGAAGAUCAUGGCAUCUGGUCCCAUCACUUCGUGGGAAAUAGAUGGGGAAACAGUGGAAACAGUUUCAGACUUUAUUUUUUGGGGCUCCAAAAUCACUGCAGAUGGUGACUGCAGCCACGAAAUUAAAAGACGCUUACUCCUUGGAAGAAAAGUUAUGACCAACCUAGACAGCAUAUUCAAAAGCAGAGACAUUACUUUGCCGACUGUGGUCUGUCUAGUCAAGGCUAUGGUUUUUCCAGGUGUCAUGCAUGGAUGUGAGAGUUGGACUGUGAAGAAGGCUGAGCGCCAAAGAAUUGAUGCCUUUGAACUGUGGUGUUGGAGAAGACUCUUGAGAGUCCCUUGGUCUGCAAGGAGAUCCAACCAGUCCAUUCUGAAGGAGAUCAGCCCUGGGAUUUCUUUGGAAGGAAUGAUGCUAAAGCUGAAACUCCAGUACUUUGGCCACCUCAUGCGAAGAGUUGACUCAUUGGAAAAGACUCUGAUGCUGGGAGGGAUUGGGGGCAGGAGGAGAAGGGGACGACCCAGGAUGAGAUGGCUGGAUGGCAUCACUGACUCGAUGGACAUGAGUCUGAGUGAACUCCAGGAGUUGGUGAUGGACAUGGAGGCCUGGCAUGCUGCAAUUCAUAGGGUCGCAAAGAGUCGGACAUAA
rnacentral:lncRNA from 1 species